rnacentral:rRNA from 1 species
GACGAACGCUGGCGGCGUGCUUAACACAUGCAAGUCGAACGGAAAGGCCCUGCUUUUGUGGGGUGCUCGAGUGGCGAACGGGUGAGUAACACGUGAGUAACCUGCCCUUGACUUUGGGAUAACUUCAGGAAACUGGGGCUAAUACCGGAUAGGAGCUCCUGCUGCAUGGGGGGGGUUGGAAAGUUUCGGCGGUUGGGGAUGGACUCGGGGCUUAUCAGCUUGUUGGUGGGGUAGUGGCUUAACAAGGCUUUGACGGGUAGCCGGCCUGGGAGGGUGACCGGCCCCAUUGGCCUAGGGGAGGGGCCCGGUCCCAAGAGGGGGCCAUGGGGGGGAAAUUUUGCAAACUGGGCGGAGGCCGGUUGGAAGAGCGCCGGGUGGGGGAGGACGGCCUGCGGGUUGGAAGCCCCUUUCGCUGGUACCGAGCGGUGGGGACGGUAACGGGAGAAAAAGCCCCGGCUAACCUCCUG